rnacentral:rRNA from 1 species
UUGUAAACUGCUUUUGUCCAGGAAUAAACCUCUUUACGUGUANAGAGCUGAAUGUACUGGAAGAAUAAGGAUCGGCUAACUCCGUGCCAGCAGCCGCGGUAAUACGGAGGAUCCGAGCGUUAUCCGGAUUUAUUGGGUUUAAAGGGUGCGUAGGCGGCCUAUUAAGUCAGGGGUGAAAUACGGUGGCUCAACCAUCGCAGUGCCUUUGAUACUGAUGGGCUUGAAUCCAUUUGAAGUGGGCGGAAUAANACAAGUAGCGGUGAAAUGCAUAGAUAUGUCUUANAACUCCGAUUGCGAAGGCAGCUCACUAAGCUGGUAUUGACGCUGAUGCACGAAAGCGUGGGGAUCGAACAGGAUUANAUACCCUGGUAGUCCACGCCCUAAACGAUGAUAACUCGAUGUUGGCGAUAGACAGCCAGCGUCUUANCGAAAGCGUUAAGUUAUCCACCUGGGGAGUACGCCCGCAA